GAUUGAAAUAUAUAAUAAAACACUACAUGCUCUUGUUUUAUUAUUAUUUUUUUAAAUAUAACAAUAGAUAUGAAUCAAUAUAAUAAAUUAUAUAACCUAUAGAAUUAUAAGCUUAUGUAUACAUUAAAAAAAAAAAAAAAAAAAAAAAAAUUAGAAAUUAAUUAAUAACUGUUCUUUAAUAUAUAUAUUUUUUUAUUUCGCCUUAUAAAUACGUAUAACUAAAAAAAUAAAAACUAUAAAACAUAUGACAUUUUGUAGCUACAUAUAGUUAUUUAUUUUCUGUUUUUGUUUUUUUUUUAGUGAACAUUGAAAACCUUAGAAUUUAAAGUAAAAAUAAAAUAUAUUAUUACUAUUAUUUAGAGUUUUUCUUUAUUUUUAUUAAAAGGUAAUGAUGUUAAUUACAAACUUGUAUAAACUAAUAGUUUAAAAGCUUAAAUUACGAAUUUUAUUAUAUAACGACUAUAAAAAAAAAUAAAAUAUAUAUAUAUAUGUUAUAAAGCUAGAGAAUUUUUUUUUUUAGUUUUUAUACAUAAUUCAACUAAAUGUUAAAGUUUUAACAAAAAAAUUACAUAAAUUAUACGCCUAAUUUUAUUUUUUUUAGUUAUUAUACAUAAUUCAGUUAAGUGUUAGAAUAUUAAUAAAAAUUUAUAUAAAUUAUAAGCAUAAUUUUUUAUUUUAUAUUUAAAUUUUAAAGUUAUAAAUAAAUUUAAUAUAACAUGAGUUUGUAUAGUUUUUAUAAUAAUUUGAUCCUUUAUGAAACAGAUUAAUUAUUUAUAAAGCAUAAUACAAAUUUUAUUAAUUUUUUUAUUAAAGUAUAUAUAUAUAUAUAUAUAUAUAUAUAUAUAUAUAGUUAUUUAUUAAAACUCACAAUAAAGAUGUUCUUUUCAAUUUUUAUUUUAUUUAAUUAUUUAUUUGUUUUAUAUAUUUACCGAACUAGCAACCAAAUAAAAUGUUAUACAAAAAAGCAUUUAGGUACUGCUUUAAGCAUGUUUUUGAUUAUAUUGUGCAUUACAGAACGGUUAGAUAAUUAUAUGAAUGGUCAAAUGAUAACAUCCCAAAUUAGAGGAAGAAUAUUAGGACAAGUGCAAAGAAGCAAUGAUAAUUCAAUGUCACAAAAGACUGUAAGAAAUAAACAAAUACGUAAUGAAAAUGGAACUAAAGUAAGUGAAGUUUCAGAUGAACAUUAUGAGAAAGUUUAUUUAGAAAUGAUAUCCAAUAUUUAUAAUAAUAGUUAUAGUCAAUUUUUUUAACAAUUAUAUCAAUCAACAUAUGGGUGAACAUACAUAUGUUAUGCCAGAAAAAAAAAAUGUAUAUGUGGGAUUUAGAAUCCAAUAAUUUGGUUGAAGUUGAUAUAAAUGCAAACAAGAGAACAGGACAUGCUAAUAAUCGUGAAGAAUUUGUAGAUCAUGUUAAUAUGUUUGAAAAUAUAAUGCAGCAAUAUAAAGAGUAUGAAAAUAAUUUAUUGGGAUUAAUAAAAACAUUAAAUGAUGUAGUUGAUUCA
rnacentral:lncRNA from 1 species